rnacentral:rRNA from 1 species
CGUAGGGUGCGAGCGUUAAUCGGAAUUACUGGGCGUAAAGCGUGCGCAGGCGGUUUUGUAAGACAGGCGUGAAAUCCCCGGGCUCAACCUGGGAACUGCGCUUGUGACUGCAAGGCUAGAGUACGGCAGAGGGGGGUGGAAUUCCACGUGUAGCAGUGAAAUGCGUAGAGAUGUGGAGGAACACCAAUGGCGAAGGCAGCCCCCUGGGUCGAUACUGACGCUCAUGCACGAAAGCGUGGGUAGCAAACAGGAUUAGAUACCCUGGUAGUCCACGCCCUAAACGAUGUCAACUAGGUGUUGGGUGGGUAAAACCAUUUAGUACCGGAGCUGACGCGUGAAGUUGACCGCCUGGGGAGUACGGCCGCAAGGUUA